rnacentral:rRNA from 1 species
CCUACGGGAGGCAGCAGUGGGGGAUAUUGCACAAUGGGGGAAACCCUGAUGCAGCGACGCCGCGUGUGGGAAGACGGUCCUCUGGAUUGUAAACCACUGUCCCCAGGGACAAAGAUGACGGAACCUGGGGAGGAAGCUCCGACUAACAACGUGCCAGCAGCCGCGGUAAUACGGAGGGGGCAAGCGUUGUCCGGAAUUGCUGGGUGUAAAGGGAGCGUAGGGGGUAUGGCAAUUUGGCUGUUAAAUCUACCGGCUCAACUGGUAGUCGCACUCAAAACUGCUAUUCUUGAGUGAAGUAGAGGCAGGCGGAAUUCCUAGUGUAGCGGUGAAAUGCGUAGAUAUUAGGAGGAACACCAGUGGCGAAGGCGGCCUGCUGGGCUUUUACUGACGCUGAGGCUCGAAAGUGUGGGGAGCAAACAGGAUUAGAUACCCCAGUAGUC